rnacentral:rRNA from 1 species
GACGAACGCUGGCGGCGUGCUUAACACAUGCAAGUCGAGCGGAAAGGCCCUUUCGGGGGUACUCGAGCGGCGAACGGGUGAGUAACACGUGAGUAAUCUGCCCUUCACUUUGGGACAACCCCCGGAAACGGGAGCUAAUACCGGAUAUGACCGGCAACCGCAUGGUUUGUUGGUGGAAACUUUUUGGGUGGGGGAUGUGCUCGCGGCCUAUCAGCUUGUUGGUGGGGUAAUGGCCUACCAAGGCUUUGCCGGGUAGCCGGCCUGGGAGGGUGACCGGCCGCACUGGGACUGAGACACGGACCAGACUCCUACGGGAGGCAGCAGUGGGGAAGAUUGGACAAUGGGCGGAAGCCUGAUCCAGCAACGCCGCGUGGGGGAUGACGGCCUUCGGGUUGUAAACCUCUUUCAGCACCGACGAAGCGUGAGUGACGGUAGGUGCAGAAGAAGGACCGGCCAACUACGUGCCAGCCGCCGCGGUAACAC